AGCUCGAUGAUCGUAUUCAUUUUUUGAUGAUAUACGCUAUUCUGAGAAAUUUAAAGUGCUGAUAAGAUAGAAUAUGAGAGCU
rfam:Musa acuminata subsp. malaccensis Doubled-haploid Pahang (DH-Pahang) genomic chromosome, chr1